rnacentral:piRNA from 1 species
UGGUCGAAAUAGCCUUGGUGAGUGGC